AUGGAAAUUGUUUCAACACUAAAAAAAAGGUAUACUGACUAUUUUAAUGUUGAUAUGGCAUUAAUAAAAAGUAUUAAAAAAUAUAUUGUGCAACCUCCCACAUUUAUUUAACCCGUCUUUCAAAACUAGUGUUUUCCCAUCAAAACUGGAAACCGCAAAAGUUAUUCCGAUUUACAAGAGCGGAGAGAAGCACUUAUUUACAAAUUACAGACCAAUAUUUUUCCGGCAAAAAUUGUAGAACAACUAUUUGCAGACAAACUUUACAAAUGUAUUGCAAAGCAUAAUGUAAUCUGCAAAUAUCAAUACGGUUUCAGAGAGAAAAGGGCAACAUCUAUGGCAAUAAUGGAAAUUGUGGAAGAAUCAAUCAAUGUGUGUAUGCUUGCAUGCUAGCAAUCAGUUCAAUAGUGGGUGUUUGGUCACUUCAAAAGUCGGAUCUUCAGUCAAAAAAGGUUGGGCACCCCUGGUAUCAGAUGUUUGGCACAUAAAUGGUUGAAAAGCUAUUUAGAUGACAGCUACAGCUGUUGUGAAAACACUAUAAAAGUAACUUAAUUGUAUAAUAUUAAUAUGCACAGUUCAACAAUUUCCAAUCAAACAAGUUGAAGCUAACUCCCUAAAUUUAUCAAGAUCAAGGUGUACAACCAGACAAAUGUUCUACUUAUUGCCAUUUCCUUUGAGCAUAUAAACUGUACUGAACAAAUACAUGUAUUGAUAUUUUUUCCUUUAUGUCGUUUUUUUUUCAUGUCUUUCAUAUUGCGUUUAUAUGUUCGAUAUAUUAAUCAAUUCUGACUGAAUACAAUGCAAACUCUUUUUCUCUCUCAAGUUUGAAAUCCCACAAAGAGUCAGCCCCCUUCAGGACGCCAUUCGUCACAUUUCAUUAAGGACCAACAAAACAGGCAAAUUGUGUGCGAGGUACAUAAAUGCAGUCAAAGGAUGUGAAAUAUUUGCAAAGAGUACAAUCGGCAGAGGACAAUUUGUUGCUGAAUAUCGGGGAUAUAUGAUAAAUGAUGCAGAAUACUAGAGCAGAAGAUGAGUUUACCACCAAUCAUGUGCUGCGUUUAUGUUUGCAUUCAAGUGGAGAGGGAAAACAUGGUGCAAUGAUGCUUCACAAGAAGAUGAGUCAUUUGGGCGACCAGUGAAUGAUGAACACAGGAGGCCAAAUUGCCAGAUGAAAAGGAUUGAUGUGGAUGGUGUGCCACACCUAUGUUUGUUUGCUUUCAAUGACAUUCAAGAGGGAGAAGAAAUGACCGAUGAUUAUGGUGGCGAAGACUGCCCAUGGAGAACACAAAUGACCAGCCUUUACAGUCACAGAUGUGGCUCCUCAACCCUCUGUACUGCCUCAGAGUCAGAUGCAACAUACACCAGAUGACCAAGACAAUACCCAAUGAGACUACUUUACAAGAAAACUGUUGCGAUACUGCUGGUCCAGGCAACAUUCACCAGAUGACCAAGACAAUACCCAAUGAGACUACUUUACAAGAAAACUGUUGCGAUACUGCUGGUCCAGGCAACAUUCACCAGAUGACUAAGACAACACCGAAAGAGGCGACUUUACAUGAACUCUGUUGUGAUAGUGCUGGUCCAAGCAACAUACAUCAGAUGACUAAGACAACACCCAAAGAGGCGACUUUACUUGAACCCUGUUGUGAUACUGCUGGUCCAAGCAAAAUACAUCAGAUGACCAAGACAACACCCAAAGAGGCGAGUUUACCUGAACCCUGUUGUGAUAGUGCUGGUCCAAGCAAUAUACAUCAGAUGACUAAGACAACACCCAAAGAGGCGACUUUACUUGAACCCUGUUGUGAUACUGCUGGUCCAAGCAAAAUACAUCAGAUGACCAAGACAACACCCAAAGAGGCGACUUUACUUGAACCCUGUUGUGAUACUGCUGGUCCAAGCAAAGAAAAAAAAAAAAAAAAGCUCUGUCAUCCAAGCAGGGCUCAGAGUCAAGCCGCUGCUCCUCCGCAUUGAGAAGAGCCAGAGGAAGUGGCUCAGCCAUCUGUUUAGGAUGCCACCGGGACGCCUCCAUGAAAAGGUGUUUCGGGAGAAAGAAGUGAGAAUGAUAAUCCGUGCCAAUUAACACCCAAGCGACGGACACCAUUUUCAAAUAGACAGGCCAUCAUCAGAUGAUGAUGAAAUUCCAUCAAGUAUUCCUGCCAAGAGAUCUUCCUUCAAAGUACUUCUAGGAAAGAGGAAGAGAACUCCCUGGCAGGAAAGCGAAAUAAAGGCAGUGGAAAGGCACAUGAUGGGACUCAUCAAAUCUUUUUGCGUCCCAGGAAAAAUGGAUUGCGAAAGAUGUUUAAGGGCUGAACCAGAAGCCCUUACAACACGAGACUGGCAAACCCUCAAGUAUUAUGUUUAUAACCGCAUUUCGGCUGCCAAAAAGAAAUUGCAGCACAAAUAAGUUUUCAAUCAAUCUGUUGAGGCACUUUUAUUUUCAUUAUGGAUAUUUCACUUUGAAUGUAUUUUUAAACAAUGUCAACAGUUUGUUUGAUGUUUGUUUAAGGUAGACCAUAGGUGUCAAACUCUGGUCCUGGAGGGCCGCUGCCCUGCAUGUUUUCCAAGUCUCCCUGUUGCAACACACCUGAUUCAAAUGAUCAGAUCAUCAGCAAGCUCUGGGCAAGCCUGACAUUGAACCUGUUCAUUUGAAUUUGGCUGGAUCUUUGAUUGCAACAACAUGCCAGAAAUGUCUUCCAUUCUCUGAAGCAGACAUAUUCGAGUCACAUGACAUUUAACAAACAAAAUAUAUCAAAAUAGAUUAUUUCAACGAUUAUUAUUCAAAUGAAUUGACUUUCAUUUGACAGUUGGGUUCAGAUGCUUGCCAUUUUUGAUGAGUAAUGCACUUUGUGUGAGGUCCCCAGUAAUCACAUGUACUUGGUAUAGAUCCUGUGUGAAUUAUGUAAAUACAUUUAAAUAUAUUUAAAUUAAGUCCUCAUAAGGCAUGUAAACUGGACUUUUCUGAAGUCCCCAUAUGACAUGGUCCAACCACAUGACUUCAUAAAUUCUGAUAUUUAAAGGUGUUUAUAAGCUAACACCACCACCUUGUGUAUCCCUGAUUUUUUGCAGAGCUCUAUGUCAUUUAGAAAGGGUGGUCCCCGAAAGUGAUGAACUAAAAAGUAGUCCCCACAAAUCACAUAAACCGGUCUGUGUGUGUGUGUGUGUGUGUGUGUGUGUGUGUGUGUGUGUGUGUGUGUGCAAAGAAGCAGAGAGAG